CGCCCGUGAGGCUGAGGUAGGUAGACCACUGGGCUCUCAACCCAGAAGACUCGGUUCGACCCCGGGACGGGCGA
rnacentral:tRNA from 1 species